GAUGAACGCUGGCGGCGUGCCUAAUACAUGCAAGUCGAGCGAACAGACGAGGAGCUUGCUCCUCUGACGUUAGCGGCGGACGGGUGAGUAACACGUGGAUAACCUACCUAUAAGACUGGGAUAACUUCGGGAAACCGGAGCUAAUACCGGAUAAUAUAUUGAACCGCAUGGUUCAAUAGUGAAAGACGGUUUUGCUGUCACUUAUAGAUGGAUCCGCGCCGCAUUAGCUAGUUGGUAAGGUAACGGCUUACCAAGGCAACGAUGCGUAGCCGACCUGAGAGGGUGAUCGGCCACACUGGAACUGAGACACGGUCCAGACUCCUACGGGAGGCAGCAGAAGGGAAUCUUCCGCAAUGGGCGAAAGCCUGACGGGGCAACGCCGCGUGAGUGAUGAAGGUCUUCGGAUCGUAAAACUCUGUUAUUAGGGAAGAACAAAUGUGUAAGUAACUAUGCACGUCUUGACGGUACCUAAUCAGAAAGCCACGGCUAACUACGUG
rnacentral:rRNA from 1 species